UUCGAUUAUGGCUCAGAUUGAACGCUGGCGGGAUGCGCUACAUGCAAGUCGGGCAACGCGCGGACUUCAGUCUGGUGGCGAGUGGCAGGCGGGUGAGUAAUGUCGGGCCUGCUGGUGGCGGGAGUAACUCCGCGGCGUGGCCCUAAUACCACCAUACGCCCUUCGGAAAGCAGGACCUUCCGGGCUCGCGCCAGCCAGGCGGCCGAUAUUCGGUUGUGGCUGGAUUGGUGGGGUAACGGCUCCGCAGGCGACGAUCGUAGCUGGUUUGAGAGGACGACCAGCCACACACUGGGACUGAACGGCCCAGACUCCUACAGGAGGCAGCAGUGAAGAAUUUUGGACAAUGGGGAAACCCUGAUCAGCCAUCCGGUAUUGCGAUGAGCCUUCGGGUUGUAAAGCACUUUUGGCAGGAAAGAAACGGCACAGGAUAAUACCCGUGCAACUGACAGUACCUGCAGAAUAAAGCACCGGCUAACUACGUGCCAGCAGCCGCGGUAAUACGUGAAGUGCAAGCGUUAAUGGAAUUACUGGGCGUAAAGCGUGCGCGAGCGGUUCGGAAAGAAGAUGUAGAAAUCCAGAGGCUUUAACUUUUGGAACUUGCGGGCACUAACUACCGAGAGCUCGAUGUCGGGAAGGUGAAUUCGCGUAACCAUAGAGCAAAUACGUAAAGAUAUACGGAAGGCUUACCAAAUCAGCGACUUGGCCUCUGGGAUAACACUGGCAUCUUUGCUUAGUGUGAGGCCAAGCAGGGACCGAAUGCCCACAGAGCGAAGGUCUACGCCUGGCAGUGUCGCUUCGCUGUUGGGACGCUGGGGCCUUGAAACAACAACUGCGCGGCUGGGAUGUUGCCACCGGGGGUGCGGUCGCCAGAUUAAAGCUCAAGGAAUUGAGCAGGGACCCUGGCGGUGGAUGAUGUGGAUUAAUUCGUGCAACGCCGAAAAACCUUACCUACCCUUGACAUGUCUGGAAUCCCGAAGAGAUUUGGGAGUGCUCGCAAAGAGAACCGGAACACAGGUGCUGCAUGGCUGUCGUCAGCUCGUGUCGUGAGAUGUUAGGUUAUGAUCCCUGGCGCUGGCAUGACUACGCUGUCGCCGGUUUGCACCACGAAAGGCUCUGUGAGACUGCCGGUGACAAACCGGAGGAAAGACAAGGGAUGACGUCAGUCUCCAUGGCCCCGCCGCUGAACGGGGCUUCCUCACGUCAUACAAUGGUCAGGACAGAGGUCGCCAACCCGCAGGGGGCUGUCUGAAGGCUGAUCGUAGUCCGGAUCGCAGUCUGCAACUCGACUGCGUGAAGUCGGAAUCGCUAGUAAUCGCGGAUCAGCAUGUCGCGGUGAAUACGUUCCCGGGUCUUGUACACCGCCCGUCACACCAUGGGGAUGGGUUUACCAGUAGUUUAACAUAACCCGUGGGAGGGCGGAGUUGCCACGGCUGAUUCAUGACUGGGGUGAAAGUCAUGUCAGAUAG
rnacentral:rRNA from 1 species